UACGGAGGAUCCGAGCGUUAUCCGGAUUUAUUGGGUUUAAAGGGAGCGUAGGCGGGUUGUUAAGUCAGUUGUGAAAGUUUGCGGCUCAACCGUAAAAUUGCAGUUGAUACUGGCAUCCUUGAGUACAGUAGAGGUAGGCGGAAUUCGUGGUGUAGCGGUGAAAUGCUUAGAUAUCACGAAGAACUCCGAUUGCGAAGGCAGCCUGCUGGACUGUAACUGACACUGAGGCUCGAAAGCGUGGGGAGCAAACAGG
rnacentral:rRNA from 1 species